AUGUCCUUGCCGUGUCUGAGGAAUGUCAGGAAGGCCACCAAAAAUUCUGAGAUUUCCAUACCCAACUAUAAAAAAUUUUCCUGUCAAGAUAGAACUGCCAAAGGGGGAGGAGUUGCAGUCUACUGCAGAGAUAGCCUGCAAAGUAAUGUCAUACUUUCCAGGUCCAUACCCAAACAGUUCGAACUACUAAUUUUGAAAAUGACUCUCUCCAGAAAUAAGUAUCUCACUGUUGCCGCCUGCUACCGACCCCCCUCAGCUCCCAGCUGUGCCCUGGACACCAUUUGUGAAUUGAUCGCCCCCCAUCUAGCUUCAGAGUUUGUUCUGUUAGGUGACCUAAACUGGGAUAUGCUUAACACCCCGGCAGUCCUACAAUCUAAGUUAGAUACCCUCAAUCUCACACAAAUCAUCAAGGAACCCACCAGGUACAACCAUAAAUCUGUAAACAAGGGCACCCUCAUAGACGUCAUCCUGACCAACUGGCCCUCCAAAUACACCUCUGCUGUCUUCAACCAGGAUCUCAGUGAUCACUGCCUCAUUGCCUGUAUCCGCUACGGAGCCGCAGUCAAACAACCACCCCUCAUCACUGUCAAACGCUCCCUAAAACACUUCUGUGAGCAGGCCUUUCUAAUCGACCUGGCCCGGGUAUCCUGGAAGGACAUUGACCUCAUCCCGUCAGUUGAGGAUGCCUGGUCAUUCUUUAAAAGUAACUUCCUAACCAUUUUAGAUAAGCAUGUUCUGUUCAAAAAAUGCAGAACUAAGAACAGAUAUAGCCCUUGGUUCACUCCAGACCUGACUGCCCUCGACCAGCACAAAAACAUCCUGUGGCGGACUGCAAUAGCAUCGAAUAGUCCUCGCGAUAUGCAACUGUUCAGGGAAGUCAGGAACCAAUACAUGCAGUCAGUCAAGAAAGCUAAGGCCAGCUUCUUCAGGCAGAAGUUUGCAUCCUGUAGCUCCAACUCCAAAAAGUUCUGGGACACUGUGAAGUCCAUGGAGAACAAGAGCACCUCCUCCCAGCUGCCCACUGCACUGAGGCUAGGUAACACGGUCACCACCGAUAAAUCCAUGAUUAUCGAAAACUUCAACAAGCAUUUCUCAACGGCUGGCCAUGCCUUCCGCCUGGCUACUCCAACCUCGGCCAACAGC
rnacentral:lncRNA from 13 species